rnacentral:rRNA from 1 species
CCUACGGGUGGCAGCAGUGAGGAAUAUUGGUCAAUGGGCGAGAGCCUGAACCAGCCAAGUCGCGUGAGGGAGUACUGCCCUAUGGGUUGUAAACCUCUUUUGUCGGGGAGCAAAAGCCGGACGUGUCCGGCUGUGAGAGUACCCGAGGAAAAAGCAUCGGCUAACUCCGUGCCAGCAGCCGCGGUCAUACGCGGGAUGCGAGCGUUAUCCGGAGUUAUUGGGUUUAAAGGGUGCGCAGGCGGAAUUUUAAGGCAGCGGUAAAAUCGUGGGGCUCAACCCCAUCCAGCCGUUGAAACUGGGGAUCUAGAGUGUGCGAGAGGUAUGCGGAAUGCGUGGUGUAGCGGUGAAAUGCAUAGAUAUCACGCAGAACCCCGAUUGCGAAGGCAGCAUACCGGUGCACAACUGACGCUCAGGCACGAAAGCGUGGGUAUCGAACAGGAUUAGAUACCCUGGUAGUC